UUACUGAGUAUAUGCUUCUGCCUGAAAGCCCUAGCAGAUGUAUGGGGAAGAUAACAAAAGGAAAAGUGCGAUGGAGGACAUAUGGCAAGCGAAAAGAAAGAAGACAUGAGGAGAGGACAGGACAAGAAAUACCUGUGGGCUGGACCGUGUGCCUGGGAAUUUUUCAGGAUUUGAGAUUGCAUAUCUGUGGCAGAAAGAAAACGUAAAGGGUCCUGGGCGUGUUCCUCCUCGUGUACCUGCGGGAUGAGCACGACGGAGCAAAGGCACACACGUGCGACCUAGAAGCUCUGCAAAGAGGAGGGGUUUUCAAGUCCAGACCAGUAGGACAUGAGUACGUUCAUCCGGAGAACUCCCAAUUACUGUUUUAGAUUUCAUCAGAGGAUAGCUGUCCCAUGGCACAUGUGCUUGUGAACAAAGUAAAGCAUUUUGAGUUGUACAUUGCCAUAGCAAGGAAGUGAAGGACAACUUCAGACUAAUUC